AGUCGUAACAAGGUUUCCGUAGGUGAACCUGCGGAAGGAUCAUUAAAUAAUCAAUAAUUUUGGCUUGUCCAUUAUUAUCUAUUUACUGUGAACUGUAUUAUUACUUGGCGCCUGAGGAAUGUUCCAAUGCUAUAAGGAUAGGCAUUGGAAAUGUUAACCGAGCCAUAAUCAAGCUUAGGCUUGGUAUCCUAUUAUUAUUUACCAAAAGAAUUCAGAAUUAAUAUUGUAACAUAGACCUAAAAAAUCUAUAAAACAACUUUUAACAACGGAUCUCUUGGUUCUCGCAUCGAUGAAGAACGUAGCAAAGUGCGAUAACUAGUGUGAAUUGCAUAUUCAGUGAAUCAUCGAGUCUUUGAACGCAACUUGCGCUCAUUGGUAUUCCAAUGAGCACGCCUGUUUCAGUAUCAAAACAAACCCUCUAUCCAACAUUUUUGUUGAAUAGGAUGACUGAGAGUCUCUUGAUCUAUUCUGAUCUCGAAGCUCUUGAAAUGUACAAAGGCCUGAUCUUGUUUGAAUGCCUGAACUUUUUUUUAAUAUAAAGAGAAGCUCUUGCGGUAAACUGUGCUGGGGCCUCCCAAAUAACACAUCUUUAAAUUUGAUCUGAAAUCAGGUGGGACUACCCGCUGAACUUAAGCAUAUCAAUAAGCGGAGGAA
rnacentral:misc_RNA from 1 species